rnacentral:rRNA from 1 species
CAGGCUUAACACAUGCAAGUCGAGGGGCAGCAGGAUCUAGCAAUAGAUUGCUGGCGACCGGCGCACGGGUGAGUAACACGUAUCCAACCUGCCGAUAACUCGGGGAUAGCCUUUCGAAAGAAAGAUUAAUACCCGAUAGUAUAAUCAGACCGCAUGGUUUGAUUAUUAAAGAAUUUCGGUUAUCGAUGGGGAUGCGUUCCAUUAGGCAGUUGGUGAGGUAACGGCUCACCAAACCUUCGAUGGAUAGGGGUUCUGAGAGGAAGGUCCCCCACAUUGGAACUGAGACACGGUCCAAACUCCUACGGGAGGCAGCAGUGAGGAAUAUUGGUCAAUGGACGCGAGUCUGAACCAGCCAAGUAGCGUGAAGGAUGACUGCCCUAUGGGUUGUAAACUUCUUUUAUAUGGGAAUAAAGUUUUCCACGUGUGGAAUUUUGUAUGUACCAUAUGAAUAAGGAUCGGCUAACUCCGUGCCAGCAGCCGCGGUAAUACGGAGGAUCCGAGCGUUAUCCGGAUUUAUUGGGUUUAAAGGGAGCGUAGGUGGACAGUUAAGUCAGUUGUGAAAGUUUGCGGCUCAACCGUAAAAUUGCAGUUGAUACUGGCUGUCUUGAGUACAGUAGAGGUGGGCGGAAUUCGUGGUGUAGCGGUGAAAUGCUUAGAUAUCACGAAGAACUCCGAUUGCGAAGGCAGCUCACUGGACUGCAACUGACACUGAUGCUCGAAAGUGUGGGUAUCAAACAGGAUUAGAUACCCUGGUAGUCCACACAGUAAACGAUGAAUACUCGCUGUUUGCGAUAUACAGUAAGCGGCCAAGCGAAAGCAUUAAGUAUUCCACCUGGGGAGUACGCCGGCAACGGUGAAACUCAAAGGAAUUGACGGGGGCCCGCACAAGCGGAGGAACAUGUGGUUUAAUUCGAUGAUACGCGAGGAACCUUACCCGGGCUUAAAUUGCAUUUGAAUAUAUUGGAAACAGUAUAGCCGUAAGGCAAAUGUGAAGGUGCUGCAUGGUUGUCGUCAGCUCGUGCCGUGAGGUGUCGGCUUAAGUGCCAUAACGAGCGCAACCCUUAUCUUUAGUUACUAACAGGUCAUGCUGAGGACUCUAGAGAGACUGCCGUCGUAAGAUGUGAGGAAGGUGGGGAUGACGUCAAAUCAGCACGGCCCUUACGUCCGGGGCUACACACGUGUUACAAUGGGGGGUACAGAAGGCAGCUACCUGGUGACAGGAUGCUAAUCCCAAAAGCCUCUCUCAGUUCGGAUCGAAGUCUGCAACCCGACUUCGUGAAGCUGGAUUCGCUAGUAAUCGCGCAUCAGCCAUGGCGCGGUGAAUACGUUCCCGGGCCUUGUACACACCGCCCGUCAAGCCAUGAAAGCCGGGGGUACCUGAAGUACGUAACCGCAAGGAGCGUCCUAGGGUAAAACUGGUAAUUGGGGCUAAGUC